UCAGUCCUUCUGAUCGGUAUUUAUUCGUAGCGAGGUGGACGUGUUGCACAAAACAAACACUUGUAACAAAAAAAUAUAUGACAACUAGGGGUCGCUAUUAUAUCAAGACAAGAUGAUAUGCAAAGGUGGAGGAGUAUAUGAAUGUCAAACCUCGUAUUUUUGUCACGAAGUUUGCGCUCCAAAAUUACACUUCUUAAAUGUUAUAAAAGCUCAGCCGCAACUGAGAAAAUUUCUUUUCUGUCGAAAUAAUCAGACGAAUUAGUAGUGCGCGCCGUGUGUAAAAUUAUAGUUUAAAGUGUAAAAUCCUACUUAGUCUAAUAGUACGGAUAAAUUAAAAAAAAGUGCUAAAGUCAAAAAUAGUACGUUAGUACGAAUAUUGUUUCAAAAGCGAAUACUGUGAAAUAAGUGCCUAAACGAAAAUACAUCCAAGAAAAAGGUCCGAUCAGAGGACCUUUUUCUUUUGAUCCUUUCGCACAGGCUGAGGCGUGCCACCCGGAGUUGCACGAGUCGCUAAAGUGUCCCGAUCUGCGCACGAAACACCAGUGAUUCGUCAUCUGUAAAGAUUCGACAGAAAAGGGGACCUGUCACGUGCAAACACCGGGGCAUCCAAGCAAACCACCAUUUUGCAUCCGCCAUUGGAAGGUGGUAUUUCGGAGUGCCAUAUCACCAGUGCCUGUCCAGUACCGUCGGCCAUUUUGUAAGACCGAAGUCAACGACCAGCUUCUAGACCACCCGUUUUGCCGGUGGCGAACCGUAAUCAGACUCACGGACAUCUGCCACGCCGGUGGCGAGCCGUCAUCAGACACUCGGACAUCUGCCACGCCGGUGGCGAACCAUCAUCAGACACUCGGACAUCUGCCACGUCGGUGGCGAACCGUCAUCAGACUCUCGGAGAUCUGCCACGCCGGUUGCAAACCGUCAUCAGAAUCUCAGCCAUCUGCCACGCCGGUUGCGAAUUGUCAUCAGCCUCACGGCCACCUACCACGCCGGUGGCGAACCGAUAGCAACCUCUCGAGCCACUGCCUCGCCGGUGGUGAACCCCAUCAUCUGCUACAACCUACAUCGACAACCUGCAAUCAACGAGUCGCUUCGAGUUUCACCUGCGGCGAACCGUCCGUCGCGCUCCUUCAUCGUAGUCGACCGCCAGCCACCAAGAUCAACGAAUCCAAGGGCUAGAGGCCCAGCAUGCAA